rnacentral:ncRNA from 1 species
GUUUUAUUCUUGCUGCUUCGUUCAGUUUCCCUUUGUUUUAUAUGUAAGUUUUUGCGGGUUUAUUUAAGUUUCUUGAUGGGCCAUGUUGGGUUGUUAAUUCGCAUUAUUUGGUUUUAUGAAUCUUGGUUACUUGGAUUUAGUAAUAGGGGUUAGUACUGGUUAAGUUUGUGCCAGCAGCCGCGGUUAUACAUUAAGUGCUAUUGAAUGUUUUCGGUUGUGCAGUUUUAUUUUUGUUUAUGUUUGGGCUUUAAGGUUGACUUGGUUUAGUAGUUGGGUGGAAUUUCUAUUUUUGUUUGUUGCUCGGGAUUAUGUUUGUAGGCUGUGAAAUCUUUGCUGUAGACUAGGAUUAGAUACCCUAUUAUUUUUGAUGUUAAUUUUUUUUCCUGGGUAGUAUUAGUUAUUUUCUUGAAACCCAAAGAAUUUGGCGGUAUUCCAUUCCUUUCAGAGGAAUCUGCCCCUUAAUCGAUAAUCCGCGUUGGACCUUUCUUGAUUUUUGUUUGUAUACCGCCGUUGUAAUGAGGGUCUUUUUAGUGUUGUAAAUUUUCUGGUUUCAUUAUUUUGAUUUAUUUCAGGUCAAGGUGCAAUUUGUUUUUAAGUGUGAGGUGGAUUACAAUAUGUUUUUGAGUUUCGGAUUAUUGAUUGGAAUUUUUGGUAUGAAGUUGGAUUUGGUUGUAAUUCGUUGAAGAUUGUUUGAAUGAUGGUGGUUCUGGAAUAUGUACACAUCGCCCGUCGCUCUCAUUAUUUUGUUGAGAUAAGUCGUAACAUAGUGGUCGUACCGGAAGGUGUGGCUGGAUUGA